CUGCAUUCUCCAACCCUCCCGCGGCUCCCCCGUGCCCCCGGGACACGAGCGAAUGCUACAGAACCGCGGGCGAGUCCAAAGGCCGCCGUCGGCCCUGGCGCGGCCUCAUUUCGCGCCCGCGACACGU